CGCGCGCCGACCCGGAGAGCAACCUGUUCUUCGUCCGGAGGGCCGAGGAGCUUGCCUUUUCUGGGCUCCUUGACCUGCCCUCUGCAAGCUGUGCGCCCCUUCCAAGGGGACCCGAGAAAAAGAGCACCCAAGCCGACCGUCGAAUGCCAGGGAUGCUCCUGGGAGCCCCUACACUUCCCCUCCCCCCCCAGGAGGCGAAAAGGGUUCGGUUUUAGCAGUUGCAGAAAGCUUAAAAUUCAUUCAAUAGGAGCUUGGUUCUUCAGUGCAAUAUGAAUAUGCCUGCGGUUGUUCAAGUGGUGAUGGAAGUGAACAUCUAUCCUCAGAGUCUUUGGUGAUGAUGCUGACUGGGGAUCAUGGAGGAAAUGAAGGUGUUUACUUAUACCUUUCUUGAUGGUGGAAACUCUGAUACUAAUGUUAAUAUUUUCUCAUUUCUGUCCUCAUGGAAUCAGAGGCCAAACUUUUUCUAUCAUGGUCCCUGUCUAGCUCCCUUCCCCAAAUGGUUUGACAAAGUCUGGAUUUACUGACCUUUAGAGCAUUCAGCAAGAGCACACCUUUUUAGUCAGACUUAACCAGAUUUGUGUUGAUGCCAUUUUUAAGGGGUUAAAUGUCCAAAAUGAAACUGAAGUGAUUUAAAAUGUAAAAUAAUGUGCUUUAAAGAAUGUUAGUGUGACCUGGGGCAGAA